GCGGGCGUCGUAUAACGGCCAUUACCUUGGCUUCCCAAGCCAAAGACGUGGGUUCGACUCCCAUCGCCCGCUCCA
rnacentral:tRNA from 6 species